UAGAGAGUAGUAAAGUGGAAUUACAGAGGAUUUUGAUUUCUCAGUCACAGGUUCAAUUCCUGUCUUUCUAA
rnacentral:tRNA from 1 species